rnacentral:rRNA from 1 species
AGCGAACGUUAGCGGCGGGCCUAACACAUGCAAGUCGAGCGAGAAAGGGGGUUCGCCCCCGAGUACAGCGGCGGACGGGUGAGUAACACGUAGGUAAUUUUCCCUUGAGCGGGGGACAACGUUCCGAAAGGGACGCUAAUACCGCAUAAGUUCUUGGGUGCUUCGGCACUGGAGAGGAAAGCUAGGCCGCAAGGUCUGGCACUCGAGGAGAAGCCUGCGUCGCAUCAGCUAGUUGGUGGGGUAAUGGCCUACCAAGGCAAAGACGCGUAGCUGGUCUGAGAGGAUGAUCAGCCACACUGGGACUGAGACACGGCCCAGACUCCUACGGGAGGCAGCAGUGGGGAAUAUUGGGCAAUGGGCGAAAGCCUGAUCCAGCAAUGCCGCGUGAGUGAUGAAGGCCUUAGGGUGUAAAGCUCUUUUACCCGGGACUGAUAAUGACAGUACC